rnacentral:lncRNA from 1 species
UUUCCAAUGGAUAUUCUUUAUUUUUACUUCAAAGAUGGAGAACAGAGAAAAAGAGGAAAAAUAUUAAGAUAUCUAAACCCAGUACAUUUUCAUUUCACUUAUGAAAUAAAUGUGCUUUGGGUGUUAUUCUAAGCAUCUUUAUAUAUAAGAGGCAGGAUUAAUUUUAAAUCAUCGUAAUUACAUUACUUGUGUUAUGAAUUCACGAGAUUAAGAAUUAACAUAGAUUGGUACAUAAAAUCAAACUUCUUAAUUUGCAUACUUCUCUAACAAAAGUAUUUAAAGAAUGCAAACUCUCCCUUGUUGCGACAAUAAGCAAUAUGAAAAUAUCUUCCUAUGUAAAAAUAAGAGUUACAUUGACCAUUUAUUUAAUCAAGAUACAUACUGAAAGAACACCACACAAAACUUAAAAUACUAAGUAGCUUAAACUAUCACAAAAUAGCACAAACCAAUCUUGAAAUUACCUGAAGUGCUCAUCUAAAGUGUGCAAGGACUACAAAAACUUAGUUUUAAGAUAUUGAGUGGUUUUUAACACAAUAAUAGGUUUGGUUUUUUUUAAAGAGAAUAAUGAUAGCAUUAAUUAUUCUUUACUUGUAUAUUUGUAGUACCUGGAACAAAGAUUUUAUAUAAUACUAAAGAGAAAUUAAAAGUUCUAAUGAGACCUUCCAACAGACCUGUAUUUAUCCUCAUUUUAAUUUUUUCUUCCUCUAAUGGAGUUGCUAGAUAACCUACUGUUUACAACUGGUCUUCCACUUUGAUAGCUUAUUUUUCUUCAGAUUAUUAACUGGGGAAAACAUGGUCAUUCUACAAAAAAAGAACACAGAUUCUCUUAUAUGAAACAUGAAACAUUGUAUGAGAGAAAUAGUUUAUUUCAAACAAAACCCAAUCCUGCUUCCUUCUUACUAUUCAUGUCUACAUGUAAUGUCAGUAAUUAAGAUAACGUACACAUUGAUGACAACAUAACUUUCUAAUGAUUUAAUGCUCAAGUUUGCACCUAAGUUUUGUUUUUGGUGUGUUAUCUGUUGAAUAAUGCAUUCUAAAGGUC